CUUGACGAACGCUGGCGGCGUGCCUAAUACAUGCAAGUAGAACGCUGAAGAGAGGAGCUUGCUCUUCUUGGAUGAGUUGCGAACGGGUGAGUAACGCGUAGGUAACCUGCCUUGUAGCGGGGGAUAACUAUUGGAAACGAUAGCUAAUACCGCAUAACAAUGGAUGACCCAUGUCAUUUAUUUGAAAGGGGCAAAUGCUCCACUACAAGAUGGACCUGCGUUGUAUUAGCUAGUAGGUGAGGUAACGGCUCACCUAGGCGACGAUACAUAGCCGACCUGAGAGGGUGAUCGGCCACACUGGGACUGAGACACGGCCCAGACUCCUACGGGAGGCAGCAGUAGGGAAUCUUCGGCAAUGGGGGCAACCCUGACCGAGCAACGCCGCGUGAGUGAAGAAGGUUUUCGGAUCGUAAAGCUCUGUUGUAAGUCAAGAACGAGUGUGAGAGUGGAAAGUUCACACUGUGACGGUAGCUUACCAGAAAGGGACGGCUAACUACGUGCCAGCAGCCGCGGUAAUACGUAGGUCCCGAGCGUUGUCCGGAUUUAUUGGGCGUAAAGCGAGCGCAGGCGGUUUGAUAAGUCUGAAGUUAAAGGCUGUGGCUCAACCAUAGUUCGCUUUGGAAACUGUCAAACUUGAGUGCAGAAGGGGAGAGUGGAAUUCCAUGUGUAGCGGUGAAAUGCGUAGAUAUAUGGAGGAACACCGGUGGCGAAAGCGGCUCUCUGGUCUGUAACUGACGCUGAGGCUCGAAAAGCGUGGGGGAGCGAACAGGAUUAGAUACCCUGGUAGUCCACGCCGUAAACGAUGAGUGCUAGGUGUUGGAUCCUUUCCGGGAUUCAGUGCCGCAGCUAACGCAUUAAGCACUCCGCCUGGGGAGUACGACCGCAAGGUUGAAACUCAAAGGAAUUGACGGGGGCCCGCACAAGCGGUGGAGCAUGUGGUUUAAUUCGAAGCAACGCGAAGAACCUUACCAGGUCUUGACAUCCCGAUGCUAUUUCUAGAGAUAGAAAGUUACUUCGGUACAUCGGUGACAGGUGGUGCAUGGUUGUCGUCAGCUCGUGUCGUGAGAUGUUGGGUUAAGUCCCGCAACGAGCGCAACCCCUAUUGUUAGUUGCCAUCAUUCAGUUGGGCACUCUAGCGAGACUGCCGGUAAUAAACCGGAGGAAGGUGGGGAUGACGUCAAAUCAUCAUGCCCCUUAUGACCUGGGCUACACACGUGCUACAAUGGUUGGUACAACGAGUUGCGAGUCGGUGACGGCAAGCUAAUCUCUUAAAGCCAAUCUCAGUUCGGAUUGUAGGCUGCAACUCGCCUACAUGAAGUCGGAAUCGCUAGUAAUCGCGGAUCAGCACGCCGCGGUGAAUACGUUCCCGGGCCUUGUACACACCGCCCGUCACACCACGAGAGUUUGUAACACCCGAAGUAAAUGAGGUAACCUUUUGGAGCCAGCCGCCUAA
rnacentral:rRNA from 1 species